GGACUGAUCCUUUGACACUCUAGAGAUAGAGCUUUCCCUUCGGGGACAAAGUGACAGGUGGUGCAUGGUUGUCGUCAGCUCGUGUCGUGAGAUGUUGGGUUAAGUCCCGCAACGAGCGCAACCCUUAUUGUUAGUUGCCAUCAUUUAGUUGGGCACUCUAGCGAGACUGCCGGUGACAAACCGGAGGAAGGUGGGGAUGACGUCAAAUCAUCAUGCCCCUUAUGACCUGGGCUACACACGUGCUACAAUGGGAAGUACAACGAGUCGCUAGACCGCGAGGUCAUGCAAAUCUCUUAAAGCUUCUCUCAGUUCGGAUUGCAGGCUGCAACUCGCCUGCAUGAAGCCGGAAUCGCUAGUAAUCGCGGAUCAGCACGCCGCGGUGAAUACGUUCCCGGGUCUUGUACCACACCGA
rnacentral:rRNA from 1 species